rnacentral:rRNA from 1 species
AUACGGAGGAUCCGAGCGUUAUCCGGAUUUAUUGGGUUUAAAGGGUGCGCAGGCGGGAGAUUAAGUCGGCGGUGAAAUUUUGCAGCUCAAAUGUAAAAGUGCCUUCGAAACUGGUUUUCUUGAGUGUAGAUGAAGUAGGCGGAAUUUGUGGUGUAGCGGUGAAAUGCAUAGAUAUCACGAGGAACUUCGAUUGCGCAGGCAGCUUACUAAACUACUACUGACGCUCAGGCACGAAGGCGUGGGGAUCAAACAGGAUUAGAUACCCUGGUAGUCCACGCAGUAAACGAUGAUUACUAGCUGUUUGCGAUACAAUGUAAGCGGCUGAGCGAAAGCGUUAAGUAAUCCACCUGGGGAGUACGUUCGCAAGAAUGAAACUCAAAUGAAUUGACGGGG